rnacentral:lncRNA from 1 species
AAGUAGUUCAGUUUGGCCUUGAACUUGCAACAAUCCUCAUGCCUCAGCCUCCUAAGUGCUGCAAUUACAGGACCAAGAACAUGUUGAACAUGUUUGAGGAGGUUCAUGUUGUCUUGAUGCUGCUCAAAAGUAAACAGUGAAAAGCUGGUGCUUAAGGCACAUGACAGUUUUCUGUGAAAUUGACUUGUAUCCAUCUUUUGAAGAACUUUCUCAGAGCUGGCCUUGGUAGUGCAUAUCUAUCAUUUUUGCACCCUGGAAGACUGAGGCAGGAGGAUUACGAGUUUGAUCACGAGAGACUUAGCAAGACUCUGUCUCUCAGUGUGAAGGUGCCAGAUUCAAUCUACAACACUGUCAAAAACAAAAACAGAAACAGAAACAACUUGAACUUGUUCAUGAACUUUUUCUGUGCAACUUUCCAUGAGUUUAACACCUUUUCCCAUCCUCCACACCCCUUCCUUCAGAUCACUUGUACAUACCUCUGUCAGAACCUCAUCAUGAUGCAAUUGCAAACACUUGCAUUAUGUGAGUUUGCUUAAAGUUUGGAAUCAUA